CGUCCGUUAUUAAAUUUCACCCAAAAAGCUCCUCAUCUACGUUCUAAGAAACCACUGAAAAGGAUUGCUAUCUCUGAAGUUUCUUGCUCUGUCGAUCCAAAAUCAAAUCCUUCCAACUAUGUCAUCGCAUCCAAUUACGAAACAAUUCCAGACUCAGUCAUUGACAAAAUAUUCAACAAUAAUACCGGUGAACGUGUAGUGGAACCAAAAGUGGAAAACAAGUUGGAACAUCCUGUUUCCAUCGUCUGCGAAGUCCAAGUUAAUGCAACUUUUUUUCGCCUCCCACUACACCAUCAAGUCCACCUAGUGAACCAUUCGGUAAACCAACAGCAAGUUGUGAAUCCAAUUCCUUUGGUAACAACAGUAACAAAGUGCCUAGCUGUCC